GCCAAAUCUCUUAUUCAAAUUUUGCUCAAAUUUUGAAUAGAAGAUGAAAAAUGAACUAGAAGCGGGACUUUCGCGGGAUCCCAUUUGCAUCCUACGCCACCCCAUCUCCGCCGCUGGCCCCGACCAAGCUCGGCCACCGCCUCCAAUCUCCGUCGCAGGUCCCAUGUGCACUCGACCACAGCCGCCUCCACCGCAAGCUUGACAUAGUCAUCAAUCUUGUCGCCUCUCCGUCGCGCUGCCUUCGCUGCCAUCCCCAUCGUCGUCCACCACACCGCGCUGCCGCCAUCUCCUUUAUGCGUCUGGUCAAGCUCGGCUUUUUUUCGCCUCCUCAAUCUCUGUCGCGCUGCCUCUUCUCUACCGCCCCCAUCGUUGUCCAUCGUGCCGCCCCCACUGCGCCGGCCAUCCUCUUUUCCAGAAAUUUCUUAUUGGUACGGUGGGUCUGUGCCCGAUCUAUCCUGGGCGAACGUCCAAGCGUGGAUCCCAAUGAGUUUUGUUAAUCUUAUAGUCUUUCCAGAUUAUGAACCGCAUGCUUACACCAUCCGCGCACUGUGAACACCCUGCGAAUCCCCUAGGCUACUGUGUGAGGUCCCUACAGCUUCAAGUGCUAGGCUCCACCAAGUUAGAUCUAACUUGACUGACUUUGACUGAAUAGAAAUAUCCGCUGUGGCUGGAAUGGCGUAGAAGCUGUACUCGUUCAUAACUGGAACGAAAUGUUAUAGACCUGUACGUUCGAGCAAUCCUUGGGGGAUCUGAGCCCACCCGCCGUUGCGGCUGACACCGCAUUUCUUCGCCAGAGAGAAGAUCGGUGAUGGGAGUCAGGCCUUAGCUUGGGUUGGAAAAGGUGCUGCCGGGUGCUCAGUUUGUCUGGCUCGACGAUGAUGGCUUGCCCGGAUUGCAACAACCUGCUUGGAGUAGCUUGCGGCGACACGGUGACGGCCCUUGGCAUGUUCAAAGUCGUCCUCAACAAAAAUUCAGGAACCUGAGUGUACGUUCCAUGCGAGAAGCGUGAUCCUUUUGAGUGCCACGAUGGCGAGGAUGCUCAACUGAUCACACGCGAAGGAUUGAUCUUUCAUGUGCGCAUUGCCGACGACAAUUUCCAGACAUAUAUGCAUGGGCCAGGUUGGGCUGAUCUGUAGCGCAUUUCGGCCAAAGUAGGUAUACGGAAUCUACCCAAGUCAGGCAGGAUAACGCUAGAAAGGGCCGACCUCGAGGGCUCGUCACAUGUAUUUGCAGUGGAAAUGCGGUACAAGAAAAAUACGGAUGACAACAGGAUCGACAUCAGCUGAGCAUGGCGCACUUUCCUCAUGAACAACAGAGACAUCCUCCCUGGAUCUCUGGUCUUGUUUACCAUCCACACCAACCCCGAACGCAAGAUCCAUGUGGAGAAAAUCCCCAAAUCACAUGGGCCAUGCAUCAAGUGCCAGGUUCGAAGCACAAACAUAGUCCCGUGAUGUUGCCCCAAACAUGACAGCAACACUGAUAUUGCAUCUGUAUCCAGUGAUCCAUGGUUUUCGUCGCAGACCAUUUGAACUGGUUAUAACAUCUAGCCCAUGUAGUAGACAUCAAUCAUCCUGCUUUUUUCGUGAAACGCAUGUAUCAUUAUGUGUAA